rnacentral:rRNA from 1 species
UGAACGCUGGCGGCAUGCCUUACACAUGCAAGUCGAACGGCAGCACGGGAGCAAUCCUGGUGGCGAGUGGCGAACGGGUGAGUAAUAUAUCGGAACGUGCCCAGUCGUGGGGGAUAACGCAGCGAAAGCUGUGCUAAUACCGCAUACGAUCUAUGGAUGAAAGCGGGGGAUCGCAAGACCUCGCGCGAUUGGAGCGGCCGAUAUCAGAUUAGGUUGUUGGUGGGGUAAAAGCCCACCAAGCCGACGAUCUGUAGCUGGUCUGAGAGGACGACCAGCCACACUGGAACUGAGACACGGUCCAGACUCCUACGGGAGGCAGCAGUGGGGAAUUUUGGACAAUGGGCGCAAGCCUGAUCCAGCAAUGCCGCGUGCAGGAUGAAGGCCUUCGGGUUGUAAACUGCUUUUGUACGGAACGAAACGGUCUGCUCUAAUACAGCGGACUAAUGACGGUACCGUAAGAAUAAGCACCGGCUAACUACGUGCCAGCAGCCGCGGUAAUACGUAGGGUGCGAGCGUUAAUCGGAAUUACUGGGCGUAAAGCGUGCGCAGGCGGUUAUAUAAGACAGAUGUGAAAUCCCCGGGCUCAACCUGGGACCUGCAUUUGUGACUGUAUAGCUAGAGUGCGGCAGAGGGGGAUGGAAUUCCGCGUGUAGCAGUGAAAUGCGUAGAUAUGCGGGAGGGAACACCGAUGGCGGAAGGCAAUCCCC